rnacentral:tRNA from 1 species
GCCUGGCUGGCUCUGUUGGUUGAGCUUCUGACUUCAGCUCAGGUCACGAUCUCAUGGUUUGUGAGUUCAAGCCCCGCGUCGGGCU